rnacentral:rRNA from 1 species
CUACGGGCUGCACCAGUGGGGAAUCUUGGACAAUGGGCGCAAGCCUGAUCCAGCCAUGCCGCGUGAGUGAUGAAGGCCCUAGGGUUGUAAAGCUCUUUCACCGGUGACGAUAAUGACGGUAGCCGGAGAAGAAGCCCCGGCUAACUUCGUGCCAGCAGCCGCGGUAAUACGAAGGGGGCUAGCGUUGUUCGGAAUUACUGGGCGUAAAGCGCACGUAGGCGGACGGCUAAGUCAGGGGUGAAAGCCCGGAGCUCAACUCCGGAAUUGCCUUUGAUACUGGCUGUCUUGAGACCGGGAGAGGAGAGUGGAAUUCCCAGUGUAGAGGUGAAAUUCGUAGAUAUUGGGAAGAACACCCGUGGCGAAGGCGGCUCUCUGGCCCGGUUCUGACGCUGAGGUGCGAAAGCGUGGGGAGCAAACAGGAUUAGAUACCCCGGUAGUC